rnacentral:lncRNA from 1 species
CGGUCUUGGAGCCCGCCCCCACACCACAGCGGAGAUUAGCGCCCCUCCCCUCCCAGGGGAGGACAGACUGACAGGAAACCAGAGACGAGGCUGGGUAUUGGCGGGAGGGGGGCUGAAGAGACCAUCUCACACACCCUGGGCAGGUGGCUUCCGGGACCCCGGGCCUGCCCUUCCCCCAAGGCACCAGCUCCAGGGGAUGAUUCAAGUGUCUGAGACUGACUCAGGGCACAGAGUGACUCCGGGAGGCAAGGACUCCCUCUCAAGACCUUCAGUGAGUGCCCAAAACACGAAGUCCUGAAUUCCAGGACAAGAAAAGGACUUUUUCUCUGAGCCCCACCCCCACGGACCCCAGCCCAGCAAACUCCCUUCCUUUCCGGACAGCAGUGGCUUUCUGACCAAGCCAUGGUUCCUCUAUAUGUGCCGCCCAGAGGGGCCAUGAAGCCCAGCGAUGACUCCCAGCUCUGCUGGGUCUCAAACCAGAAGAAACAGAACAAGGCCAGAGACACAAUCAAGGAUGAGGAAGGGGCCAGGCCUGGGGUGAGGAUGCAGAGACAAUAAGAACCACCCAGCUGCCUGCUGCCUGAGUUCCUCGUGAUGAGAGAAAUUAAACCCUGGAUGAUGGUCAAUGGCCGAGAGAGGAGGUGGCUGAGAGAGGAGGCCUCUCUUUGUGGAGGAGACAGGAGUUCAAGUGGAUUCUUCAAACUCUGCC